ensembl:lncRNA
AAGCCAACCCGUCUGCAACGAAGUCGCGCGUCUGGAACGAAGGCAGCUCAUUUGGUUUCUCCAGACCUUUCCAGACCCUCGCACGGAACCUAGGGCGUGUCGCCCAAGUCUCCAUCGCCCAGCCCCAGACGGAAGCCACUGACCAGUUUACCCCUUCUCUCCAGUGAAAACUCCACUCAACUUGUGAGCUGAUAUGCACCUGUCCUGGCCCCACCUUGGCUGAGAGGUGGCUCCCAAUCUCUGAGGGAGACAAGCCCUUCGCAGAAAGUGCCCAAGAAUUAAUGGGAAUGGGGAAGCUCAGUCCCACUCCUGGCUACUACCAGGCAACCCAAUAGGGCACUGCUUAGCUGCCCCGGGGUGUGGAGGUGCGGGUAGUGAUUCUGUGACUGUGGGAGACACAGGGGGAUCCAGAUGGAAGCACUGUUCCUGAAAACAAACCUAAGGAAACUUCUGGAGUCUUUGAAGGCUGAGCACCCAGCACGGCACCUGGCACACAGGCUAAAUGGUGGCACGUGGAAUAAAUGGAUGAGGUUUAAUGCUGAUUGGACCAUUAGCAUCUCCAGAGCUACAUGCCUCUCCCCUCGGUGGCUGUGGGUGUGGAGACUCAGCAAAGCCUGAAGAAUGAAAACAGUGGGCACUCAGAAAAGAGGAUGGCCAGGGAGGGGCCGUAGGACGCCAGUCACACUCCUGAGGACUUCAAAAGAUGGCUGUCCUUUCUGUCAGCUGGCGAAAAACUCAUUUCCCCUCACCCUCACCCUCUCCUCUGCCUGUCUUAGAGGCCUGUUUGUUUUCUUAUUUGUACUGCCUAGGGUGAGUUCAUGGCCACAACUGACUCACCACUCUUUCCAAGAGACUUGGGGAAGGAAAUAGGGGUUGCUUGGCUGGGGCCUCUGCCCACUAGCCCGGGGACUUUCAGAGCAGGGCCAGGGGGAACAUCGGGGUCUAUUCUGGGCUGUGUGAGCACCUCAAGCCAUUCACCCUCCCCAAACCUGCAAGGCCGAGGAGUCUUCUUUCACGGUAAUUGUCUAGUGGCCAGUCUCCUACCUCAAAUAAGAGGCCUCUCUCCUCAUCUAAAAGUUCUCCCUUCCCUUUGCCAAGGUCGAUUAAAAAGAAAGUUGGAGCUUUGGAGGGGCCCUUGGCAUCUCCCUGGGAAUCGGAGUCACCGCAGCUGCUGCUUUGGAAGCUCAGUCCACAGAACCUAUCCCUCCGCUCUCCUGACCCUGGCCUGAAACUCCUCUACUUCAAAGUUAGAGCUGAUGUUUGUUCUGAGGGCCCUCCAACAUGCGCCAGGCGCCUUCCUGGACUCAGGGUAGCACUCCUGGGACGCAACGCACGCAGAGCCAAGACCAAGCCAUGGCUGGACUCCAAUCUCUACCCCUCUGUGGACCCAAAUUGACAGAGGCCGACCCUGCCCUCAAGGAGCAUUCAGAUUCAGGGGAAAGGCACAACCUUGCCCCCAAAGAGCCCCUGGUCUAAGAGAAAACUGAAACCCAUUUAAAGAACUCUAAGAUGACAGGACUUCCCUGGUGGUCCAGUGGCUAAGACUCUGGAGGAAGGGGACCGAGGUUGAUCCCUGGUCGGGGAACUAGAUCCCACAUGCCACAACUAAGACCCCAUGCAGCCAGAUAACUAAAUAUUUUUUUAAAAGAACACAAACAUGGGAAUCCAAAGGAAACUCUCCAACUGGAUCAAGAUGAGUGGAGGAUGAAUGAGGGUUGGGGAGAGAAGCACUGUGCGCUCAGAGCUUAGGCAGUAGCUGUCCUGACUUGAGGGCGCCCCUGUUCCUACAUGGGUCAGCUCACUCCUGGCUCCUCCAUCCGGAAGCUCAUUCCCUGACCCCCUCAUUCCCACAAUGCACUGCGCGGGGAGUUGUGCAAGGGUCAGGCGGCAGGGUGGCAGGCUGGCUGGAGAGGGGAGAUUGCUGUCUCCCUCCAACUCCCUGAGGCCUUCCCUCCUGCAGCCCGGCCUCUGUGCAGCAAGCACCCUCCUCCGCGGUUGUUGUCGGCUGUCUGGCCUGAGGCUUCCCCUCCCUCCCCCACACCUUCCUGCCCAAGAACAGCGGCCAGAGGCCUAAACAGGAGAAAGCCAGAGGCCUAAGACAGGAGAAAGCCAGAGGCAAGAGCGGGCUGAGGCAUGGCUGAGUCCACAAGAGCAAGAAGAGAGUCAAAUGUCCCCUGGACAGAGCCUUGUGCUGGGAGGUUUCCUGCCUGAGAUGGGCAUCAGUAAGCACCCAACAAAUAUAGCAGGACUUAGCCCCAGGCUCAGAGACGCCCAAGGUGGACUCUAGAUUUAAAACUAUGAAAAUCAGAGGGUCCUGGAGAGAGAUGUGAGUGAGUGGUUUUAUAACACUCCCAGCCAUCUCCACCUGUAACUGCCUACCUUGGAAG